GAUGAACGCUGGCGGCGUGCUUAACACAUGCAAGUCGAACGAUGAACCCGGAGCUUGCUCCGGUGGAUUAGUGGCGAACGGGUGAGUAACACGUGAGUAACCUGCCCUUGACUCUGGGAUAACUGCGGGAAACUGUAGCUAAUACCGGAUACGACCCUCGGCGGCAUCGCCAGGGGGUGGAAAGAAUUUCGGUCAAGGAUGGACUCGCGGCCUAUCAGCUAGUUGGUAGGGUAAUGGCCUACCAAACCUAUGACGGGUACCCGCCCUGAGAGGGGAAACGGGCAGAAUGGGACUGAGACACGGCCCAUACACCUACGGGUGGCAGCAACAGGGAAUCGUACGCAAUGGGCGAAAGCCUGACGUCGCGAUGCCGCAUGGAGGAUGAAGGCCUUCGGGUCGUAAACUCCUUUUGACCCCGACGAGAGUCGGGGUAGAAUAAGCACCUGCUAACUCUGUGCCAGCAGCCGCGGUAA
rnacentral:rRNA from 1 species